GUCCACGCCUAACGAUGCGAACUGGACGUUGGGAGCAAUUAGGCUCUCAGUGUCGAAGCUAACGCGUUAAGUUCGCCGCCUGGGGAGUACGGUCGCAAGACUGAACUCAAGGAAUUGACGGGGCCGGCACAAGCGGUGGAGUAUGUGGUUUAAUUCGAUGCAACGCGCAGAACCUUACCUGGCCUUGACAUCCACGGAAUCCUUGAGAGAUCAGGGAGUGCCUUCGGGAACCGUGAGACAGGUGCUGCAUGGCUGUCGU
rnacentral:rRNA from 1 species